UCAAGGUCCAAGGUGAGGGGAGGGCAGAGCCAGGGUGCUGCAGGAGUAGGGCCAGGAGCUAUGCUGGCUCCAGUGGGCCAGGGGAGGUGGCCCGGGAGGUGGCCCGGGAGGCAAACCUUCUGGAGUGGAGAAGCCCUGACUUUGGAGACUGCCCUUGUCUCUGGCUCAGCAACAAGAUGAACCAAUUCCGGACCUCCUCCUACCCAAGUCCCCGGCUGGAUCCACUUGUGCUUAAAAUGGGCAGAGCCCAGGCGGCCCAAGCCCCCAAAAGGGACAUAAAUAGAACCAAAGUACAACAAGCUACUCAAUUCUCAGCACCUCAAGUGUCAGCCCUGGGUCUUUCGGGGGCAGACGAGCAAGAAAUUAUUUCUUGCUGAAGAGAAAUAAGAGCAUAAAUCGCCCGUGCGCACGGGGAGUCACCUUAGCAAGCUGGGCAAGGCCGGCGCCACCCGUCCAGCCCCGGGGCCUUGUUCUGCAGCCUCGCUGGGACCUAAGCACCUCACCCCUCAGGCUGGCCCUGCUCCACUCUCCCCAGCCUCUGACGGGGCAGCGGGAAAGGCACUAGUGAGGACAGUCUGUUGCGUCUGGAAGUUCCCUUACUCCUCCCAAAGGGCUCUCAGGACCUGACCCUGGCAGCCCAAUGACAGCAGGAUGACAGACAGGCUGCAGCAGAAGCUGGAGGGCCCUCUCCUGGGGGACCCCAGGCCUGAGGCCUCUCCUCUGCCUGGCAAAGGCCCAGACUGGUCAUCUCUCCACCUGGCCUCCUCGGCUCCUGCCUGACCGGCCAGAUGCCAGCGUGGGCGUGACCACCCAGGCGUCUUCAAUGCUCUGCUCCUCACAGUGCUUUCAAAUGACCUGCUGCAGUUAGCACAGCCUGGAAUACAGCAGGGACACACGGGGUUGCAGGAGGGGAGACCCCAGGGGGGACCCACACCCAGGCUUAUUUAUCCCAGAUGUGAGGCUGACCCUAUGAAACGGAGAAUUUCAUCUAAUACUUCAGUGAAGCUACUUCUGGGAAAUCAGUAGCCCUGGGGAAGGUGUCACAUGGACCUGAAGACACAUUAUGAAAUGGUAUCUUUGAAAAGACACGACGUGAUUGUUAGACGUGGCAUCAUUGUACUAUUCCCCCUAAAUUUGCACAAAUGUGACGUCAAUAAAAAUGUUUUUUAAAGUAAAACGAAAAAGAUAUGAUAAUCUCAACCCAAGACCCCCAUCAGCUUUGGACUGUCUGGUCCAUUGGGAAACAACCCCCUCCCCCCCCCAAAAAAAAGAAGCCACUGCUGAGGACCCAGUGGCCAGGUGCAGUGGCCCUCCCACCUGCCCGGCUGGGGAGCUGCGGUGCCACACCAUCAGGCUCAAGGACUCAAGGACAAGACUGUCUUCUUUAAAUCCAACUAUAAUCGGAGAAAUUGAGGUUUGGGGACCAAAGUUCCUUCUUUUACGCCCUCCUAUUAACCCGGGAACAAGUCCCUGGGGGGAAGAAAUUGGCAUUUUCUGGAGAGUUUUAAAAAGGAGGAGAUUUUGUCCAACAGCCUUGGACGUCAGUUCCCUGAUCAGAAGCUGACACACCAGGAGAGAAACCAGGAGGCAGACGGAAGAGGCUCCUCUAACCAGCCCUCUCUGCCCCACACAUUGAUCACCUCCUGUCCCCAAGGGCCAGAGGAAAGAUCCAGAGAACAGUUUUCCAUUUGUAUGUGUCAAACUCAGCUCACUCCCUUGGAGCCAAGAAAAGAGAUUUAAACUACAAGUGUCGGCCGGUUUCCCGGUAACUAAACUAGUCAUUUGGCAUUUCAAGAGCAUCCGAGAUUCGAGAUGCGUAAUUGCAGAGGCGAGGAGAGAGGGUCACUUCUUCAGCUCGCCCACACCGUCUGGAAGGGCUGAUUUUAACCCUGGGAGAGCAGCCUCUUCGACAGGAGCCUCCUUCCCAAGAUCGAGGGGACCCAGAGAGGGGCUGCAGAGGCUGCCGCGGCAAGGGACCUAAACCCAGAGAAGUGAAGAGGACUUGCCCAGGAUCACGCAGGACAUUAACUCCUUCCUCCAGGAUCUCUGGGGACGAAGCAGGCUGGAGCACUCAGUCGGAGCUGUGUUCUAAGUUUUGCCUUAGUUUAAAAAUAGCCCAGCUCACAAGAUGGUUUAUUUCGGACCAACGAGGCUCACUUUGUUUCAAGCCACUUUGAUUCUCAGAGGACAGACAGCAUGUGUGCCGGAGAACUCCACAGCACUUUGGAAACACGGAAAAUGUACAGGUUCGAUGUGAGCGGACUACGUUCCACGGCAUCUGACAAAAACGCAGCCAUUCCAGGAAAGCCACCAACAGAUAGAGCAAAAGCUUGCUACGCGAACAGAAAGGACCAUUAGUGGUGUGCUCUGUGGGACGGCCUUUCCUCCAGAGUCUGGAUCCAGACAGCAGCUCAUACUUGCUCCCAAAUAAAGUCAGGUCUGCUUUCCUUUCACACAGCCUUACCCUCUGCAAUGAGUCAGGCGCCUGGGGUCCACUAAGACAACAGUCUCUACAAGACAUCAAGCCUUUGCUAAGUCCUCAUCUGUAAAGGUGACCCCCAGUAUUGCUGUGUAUAUGAACUGGAAAUUAAGGCUCAGGGGGGUUAAUGGAGAUAAGUGACUCUGGGUUCCUGGCUGGAGGAUACAAAGGGCUACCUGUCUGGAUAAUGCUGCUCCUAUAACCCAGGAAGUCCCAGACUUAUCUCACUGCCCAGCCAGGAACAGAUCGGGGGCUCUCCAGUGUGGUGCUAAGGACAGUCUGGACUUUGCAGAGUCUGGUGUUGAGCAGUGUUACCAGCGCCCACCCUCUAGAUGCCAAUGGCAUCUCCCAUUGUGACAACCCAAAUAUCUCCAAACACUGACAAAAGUCCCCUGGGAGAGGAGAGGCCGGACAUGGGAGAAGCCACGGCUGAGCCACAGGAGCCUGAUUCUGGGGAAGGAGAUAUUAAGGUCCACACCCUCCCUGACACAGCCCCUUGCCCAGGACCCUCUCACCUGUAGGGUCCAAGAGGGCUCAGAAAAACCAAGAGUCUGUGGAGCUGCCAUCCGGAGUGGGGUGACAGUCCAGCCACUUAGGAGGAAUUUGUGAGGGGUCCGCAGUAGUCAUGUCACAGUGCAGAACGUUUCCCUACGAGGGCCCCUGGGGGAGCCAGGUUAUGACCAGCAGCAUCGGGAAACAUUCACCAAGAAUCCAACACCGAGUGACCACAGAAACUGACCUUUAUUAAACGCCCACUAUGUGCCAGGCA